rnacentral:rRNA from 1 species
GGGUAAGUCGGGACCUAAGCCGAGGCCGAAAGGCGUAGGCGAUGGCAAACAGGUUGAAAUUCCUGUACCACCACGUCACCGUUUGAGCAACGGGGGGACGCAGGAAGGUAGGGUAAGCGCGCUGAUGGAUAUGCGCGUCCAAGCAGUUAGGCUGACAAGUAGGCAAAUCCGCUUGUCAUAAAGGCUGAGCUGUGAUGGCGAGGGAAAUAUUAGUACCGAAAUUCCUGAUCCUACACUGCCAAGAAAAGCCUCUAGCGAGGUGACUGGUGCCCGUACCGCAAACCGACACAGGUAGGCGGGAAGAGAAUUCUAAGACGCGCGGGAGAACUCUCGUUAAGGAACUCGGCAAAAUGACCCCGUAACUUCGGGAGAAGGGGUGCUCUAUUAGGGUUUACGCCCGAGAGA